UACGUAGGGUGCGAGCGUUGUCCGGAAUUAUUGGGCGUAAAGGGCUCGUAGGCGGUUUGUCGCGUCGGGAGUGAAAACACCGGGCUUAACUCGGUGCUGGCUUUCGAUACGGGCAGACUAGAGGUAUUCAGGGGAGAACGGAAUUCCUGGUGUAGCGGUGAAAUGCGCAGAUAUCAGGGGGAACACCGGUGGCGAAGGCGGUUCUCUGGGAAUGUCCUGACGCUGAGGAGCGAAAGUGUGGGGAGCGAACAGG
rnacentral:rRNA from 1 species